GGUGGCUCAAGCUCUUCCUCACAUGAUAGAGAACUACUUUGAGGAGGCUGUGGGAAUCACAUGUCUGUUGCUAACUUGAGUUCAGCCUUCUCUGUACUUACUUAUUCUCUUGACCUUAGCUGUCAAAGAGGUUAAAAUUCUUGCUUGGCCUUUAUAGUAGGGUAACUAUAUAUUACAUUCAUGCUGUUUUAGAUAGAUUGGAUACCAGUAAUAUUGGUAACUUUAGAAAGAGAUAUAAAGUUUUUAACUUUUGCAUUUUUUGCUUUCCUCCAUACCCAUAACUGGUUUAAAUGUGAUAGUCAAUGAAUAUUUCCCGAAGGCUUUUCCUUUAUCACAUAGUCAAUGAAUACAUCUUCAAAAUGAAGAACGGUUCCUAUAUUCUUUGAAAACAUUGUUUCAUAUGACCAGGAACAUUUAAGAUUUAACAGUAAAGAUGUAAAGAUGACAAUACAGAGUGCCAAUUGGAUAAGAUAGUUGUUUUAGUUUUUCCAGUGGUAACUCUAAAAUUAACAUUUGAUAAAUUUGAACUGUGUUGUUUGCCCCCAGAAUUGCAAGGAGUCGAUUUACUGCAAUUCUGUGUAGAGACGCUCCUUCAGUGUAUCCUUGACAGUGUCCUGAUGGUUGCCAAGGUUUGCCUCAGGUGUUAAAACCAACAGAUGUGAUUCACUGGUUGGAGAAUUUCUUAGAAUAAU
rnacentral:lncRNA from 1 species